UACGGAGGGGGCUAGCGUUGUUCGGAAUUACUGGGCGUAAAGCGCACGUAGGCGGCUUUGCAAGUUAGAGGUGAAAGCCCGGGGCUCAACUCCGGAAUUGCCUUUAAAACUGCAUCGCUAGAAUUGUGGAGAGGUAAGUGGAAUUCCGAGUGUAGAGGUGAAAUUCGUGGAUAUUCGGAAGAACACCAGUGGCGAAGGCGGCUCACUGGCCCGAUACUGACGCUGAGGUGCGAAAGCGUGGGGAGCAAACAGG
rnacentral:rRNA from 1 species